ensembl:lncRNA
GUCCCACUGUUAAUAUCAACCCGAGAAUUAUUCUCAAGUUACUUCCUCAAUCUUUUCUGGACAACAUUCCUCUGUGAGUUUACAUUCCUCUGUGAGUUUACAUUCCUCUGUGAGUUUACAUUCCUCUGUGAGUUUACAUUCCUCUGUGAGUUUACAUUCCUCUGUGAGUUUACUUUGCUCUGUGAGUUUACUUUGCUCUGGGAGUUUACAUUCCUCUGGGAGUUUACAUUCUUCCGUGAGUUUACAUUCCUCUGGGAGUUUACAUUCCUCUGGGAGUUUACAUUCCUCUGUGAGUUUACAUUCCUCUGGGAGUUUACAUUCCUCUGCGAGUUUACAUUCCUCUGUGAGUUUACAUUCCUCUGGGAGUUUACAUUCCUCUGGGAGUUUACAUUCCUCUGGGAGUUUACAUUCCUCUGUGAGUUUACAUUCCUCUGGGAGUUUACAUUCCUCUGGGAGUUUACAUUCCUCUGGGAGUUUACAUUCCUCUGUGAGUUUACUUUCCUCUGCGAGUUUACAUUCCUCUGCGAGUUUACAUUCCUCUGUGAGUUUACAUUCCUCUGUGAGUUUACAUUCCUCUGUGAGUUUACAUUCCUCUGUGAGUUUACUUUGCUCUGUGAGUUUACUUUGCUCUGGGAGUUUACAUUCCUCUGGGAGUUUACAUUCUUCCGUGAGUUUACAUUCCUCUGGGAGUUUACAUUCCUCUGGGAGUUUACAUUCCUCUGUGAGUUUACAUUCCUCUGGGAGUUUACAUUCCUCUGCGAGUUUACAUUCCUCUGUGAGUUUACAUUCCUCUGGGAGUUUACAUUCCUCUGGGAGUUUACAUUCCUCUGGGAGUUUACAUUCCUCUGUGAGUUUACAUUCCUCUGGGAGUUUACAUUCCUCUGGGAGUUUACAUUCCUCUGGGAGUUUACAUUCCUCUGUGAGUUUACUUUCCUCUGCGAGUUUACAUUCCUCUGCGAGUUUACAUUCUUCUGUGAGUUUACAUUCUUCUGUGAGUUUACAUUCCUCUGGGAGUUUACAUUCCUCUGGGAGUUUACAUUCCACUGUGAGUUUACAUUCUUCUGUGAGUUUACAUUCUUCUGUGAGUUUACAUUCUUCUGUGAGUUUACAUUCUUCGUGAGUUUACAUUCCUCUGUCUCUGUUUCAGACCGAGCUGGACGAGAGCCAGAUCGACGCUGGCUUCAAGAGUCUGUUUAG